CUCUAUAUGUGUAUUACCUAAUCCCUGAGACCCUAACUUGUGAGAAUUACCCAGCAUUCACAGGUUAGUGGCUUAGGAAUUGGGUGGUGCAUUCAUA